rnacentral:rRNA from 1 species
UGCAGAAUCCCGUGAACCAUCGAGUCUUUGAACGCAAGUUGCGCCCCAAGCCUUCUGGCCGAGGGCACGUCUGCCUGGGUGUCACAAAUCGUCGUCCCCCCAUCCUCUCGAGGAUAUCGGACGGAAGCUGGUCUCCCGUGUGUUACCGCACGCGGUUGGCCAAAAUCCUAGCUAAGGAUGCCAGGAGCGUCUUGACAUGCGGUGGUGAAUUCAAUUCUCGUCAAAUCGUCAGUCGUUUCGGUCCGAAAGCUCUUGAUGACCCAAAGUCCUCAACGCGACCCCAGGUCAGGCGGGAUCACCCGCUGAGUUUAAGCAUAUCAAUAAGCGGAGGAAAAGAAACUAACAAGGAUUCCCUUAGUAACGGCGAGCGAACCGGGAAGAGCCCAGCUUGAAAAUCGGACGUCUUCGGCGUUCGA